GAGCAUUUUGUUGUUUCUUGGACAUUCUUCUUACUACUCUGAGGCAGCGCAAUUCAACAGGCUUCUCUUUCUUGUUGUUAAAGUACUUGUUCUAUCUCCUGCCUCUUUUACCAACUUUCACAUCGACCGAGAACGCAAGCGUUUACCUGGGCUCCAUCCUUGGACGGCGAACUGGUCGCGCAGGCUUCCGGCCUCCUCCUCCCUGGGGUUUGGCUCCAAGGCUCCCGCAAAAUCUCGAAAUCACCCCAGAUCGGCGCGGCCACUGAGGGAAGCAGCCCGGCUCUGAACAAGCCCAGGCAAGCCCAGGCAGAGCCCGCUUCGCGGUCCUUCCUCCUGCGCGAACCACCCGGCCCCGGGGCGAGAGACGCGUCUCUCGGGUCCCAGAUCCGUGGAGUCGUCUCUCUCCAGAGGACCGGGCGCCGGCCCUCUCCUCCACCUGAGAAGGAAAAGGGUGCAGAGCCACCAAAAUGCCUUGACCUGGGCGGCUGACAGAUGAAGGAGUACAUUUGGGAGACUCCAGACUCCGUCCGUCUCCAUGGUCUUUCCCAGAUAUCCUGAGUGGAGCAUUCAAGGAUAUGGUCCGAGAAGCUUCCUCUGCCAUCACCCAAGAGGAUGCCGGAGUUGAGAAUCCCUUCUUACCCCCCAGCUGGAAAGGCAGCCUCACUUUUCAGACCGGUGUCCACGAUUCAGAGCAGGAGGUCCAAAGCCAGGGCCCAAACACAGCAUCCCUGGGCUCGUCUGAAAGCCUUCGCCCUCCCAGCCCUAACGAGGUGCCACACAGUCUUGUUCUUCUAUGGAGGUUUCCGCAAAUCGUGCCCCACACUUGGUGGCUGCUCCGCACAGAAGCAGGUGAAGAUGAUCCAUCCAAGGAUGCACGAAGACAGUCGCUGGUACCAGAGCCCGGCUUGUCAUCCUCAGCCGGGAAGGAAGGCUGCCUCCGGCUCCAGCCCUCAACUCCGAGGAAGUCGAGUCGUGCAGAAAAGGUUGUAUAAAUAAAGCCCGAGACUCACUCAC